UACGUAGGGUACGAGCGUUGUCCGGAAUUACUGGGCGUAAAGAGCUCGUAGGUGGUUUGUCGCGUUGUCCGUGAAAACUCACAGCUCAACUGUGGGCGUGCGGGCGAUACGGGCAGACUGGAGUACUGCAGGGGAGACUGGAAUUCCUGGUGUAGCGGUGGAAUGCGCAGAUAUCAGGAGGAACACCGGUGGCGAAGGCGGGUCUCUGGGCAGUAACUGACGCUGAGGAGCGAAAGCGUGGGGAGCGAACAGG
rnacentral:rRNA from 1 species